UUACUCCUUUCUGCAGCACAUAUACUAAAAUUAGAACAAUACAGAGAAGAUUAGCAUGGCCCCUGCACAAGGGUGAUACGCAAAUUUUGUGAAGCGUUCCAUAUUUUU